rnacentral:rRNA from 1 species
UACGUAGGGUGCGAGCGUUAAUCGGAAUUACUGGGCGUAAAGCGUGCGCAGGCGGUUCGCCAAGUCAGGUGUGAAAUCCCCGGGCUUAACCUGGGAAUUGCGCUUGAAACUAGCGGGCUUGAGUGUGGCAGAGGGGGGUGGAAUUCCACGUGUAGCAGUGAAAUGCGUAGAGAUGUGGAGGAACACCGAUGGCGAAGGCAGGUCUCUGGGCUGACACUGACGCUCAUGCACGAAAGCGUGGGGAGCAAACAGG